UACUAUGGAAACCUCCUUGUCAAAGCCUCUCGUCAGAUCUCAGAAGCUAAACAAGGACGGGCCCGGUCAGCAUUGGGAUGGGAGAUGCUGAGAAUACCAGGUGCCACAGUGA
rnacentral:rRNA from 1 species